UGUUUAUUACAGAUAUUAUGGAAUAGUUAUUUCGAGAGUACCCUGCUGGCGAAUGACUUUCUCAUCAUUACUCAAAUUAACAAAUGAAGCUUAGGCAAAAAAUAAGAAGUCCUCGCUUACAUGCUGCUCUAUAUGCAUACUCAAUCUAUCUAUUGGCACUUGGUAUCUUCCUGGAACGAAAUAUCAAUCCUCUUUAGCUUCUUCACUUUCUCAAGUACGAGCAUGAAAAACUUUUAUCAACCUUUGACACAACCAAAAGAGUAUCAGCUCCUUUCGAACAUACUUCAAUUAAUUAAUAAGUUCUUCAUAUAAUGAUAUAUCCACACUUUCAUUAUAAUUUCGACUUUUUCUAAUAAAGAACUUUGAUAUUUGGAA
rnacentral:lncRNA from 1 species